rnacentral:rRNA from 1 species
GACAGCGCAUGGCAGGCAGUUUGACUGGGGCGGUCGCCUCCCAAAGAGUAACGGAGGCGUGCGAAGGUGGGUUUCCCCAUUCGGAAAUCCGCGGAU